UUGACCUCGGAUCAGGUAGGACUACCCGCUGAACUUAAGCAUAUCAAUAAGCGGAGGAAAAGAAACCAACAGGGAUUGCCCCAGUAACGGCGAGUGAAGCGGCAACAGCUCAGAUUUGGAAUCUGGCCCCCAGGGCCCGAGUUGUAAUCUGGAGAGGAUGCUUCUGGCGCGGCGCCUUCCGAGUUCCCUGGAACGGGACGCCGGAAAGGGUGAGAGCCCCGUACGGUUGGACGCCUAGCCUUUGUGAAGCUCCUUCGACGAGUCGAGUAGUUUGGGAAUGCUGCUCAAAAUGGGAGGUAAAUUUCUUCUAAAGCUAAAUACCGGCCAGAGACCGAUAGCGCACAAGUAGAGUGAUCGAAAGAUGAAAAGCACUUUGAAAAGAGGGUCAAACAGUACGUGAAAUUGUUGAAAGGGAAGCGCCCGUGGCCAGACUUGUGCCCCGCGGACCACCCGGCGCCCUCAGCGCCGGUGCACUCCGCGGGGCGCAGGCCAGCAUCGGUUUUCCUAGGGGGAUAAAGGCGGCGGGAA
rnacentral:rRNA from 1 species